UUAGCGGCGGACGGGUGAGUAACGCGUGGACAAUCUACCCUGUAGACCGGGAUAACACCUCGAAAGGGGUGCUAAUACCGGAUAAUGUCAAAUGAUGGCAUCAUCAUUUGAAGAAAGGAGAAAUCCGCUAUAGGAUGAGUCCGCGUCCCAUUAGCUAGUUGGCGGGGUAAAAGCCCACCAAGGCGACGAUGGGUAGCCGGCCUGAGAGGGUGAACGGCCACACUGGAACUGAGACACGGUCCAAACUCCUACGGGAGGCAACAGUGGGGAAUAUUGUGCAAUGGGGGAAACCCUGACACAGCGACGCCGCGUGAGCGAAGAAGGCCUUCGGGUCGUAAAGCUCAAUAGUAUGGGAAGAUAAUGACGGUACCAUACGAAAGCCCCGGCUAACUACGUGCCAUCAGCCGCGGUAAUACGUAGGGGGCGAGCGUUGUCCGGAAUUACUGGGCGUAAAGAGCACGUAGGCGGCUGUAAAAGUCAGAUGUGAAAAACCUGGGCUCAACCGAGGGUAUGCAUCUGAAACUAAAUAGCUUGAGUCAAGGAGAGGAGAGCGGAAUUCCUGGUGUAGCGGUGAAAUGCGUAGAGAUCACGAAGAAUACCAGUGGCGAAAGCGGCUCUCUGGACUUGAACUGACGCUGA
rnacentral:rRNA from 1 species